rnacentral:rRNA from 1 species
UACGUAGGUGACCAGCGUUGUCCGGAUUUACUGGGCGUAAAGAGCGCGCAGGCGGUCGUUCAAGUCGAGUGUGAAAGCCCCCGGCUCAACUGGGGAGGGUCACUCGAUACUGAUCGACUUGAAGGCAGGAGAGGGAAGCGGAAUUCCCGGUGUAGUGGUGAAAUGCGUAGAUAUCGGGAGGAACACCAGUGGCGAAGGCGACUCGCUGGACAAGUAUUGACGCUGAGGUGCGAAAGCGUGGGGAGCAAACAGG